AGCACCUUGCACAGAUCGCUUCGGUGUGAUGCGCUUGGUGACUUAGUGGCGAACGGGUGAGUAACACGUGGGUGACCUACCCCGAAGUGCGGCAUAACAGGGGGAAACUCCUGCUAAUUCCGCAUGUGCUCCCACCUCUUGUGGUGUGAGUAAAGAUUCAUCGCUUCGGGAUGGGCCCGCGGUCCAUCAGCUAGUUGGUAGGGUAAUGGCCUACCAAGGCUACGACGGAUAGCCGGCCUGAGAGGGUGACCGGCCACAGGGGCACUGAGACACGGACCCCACUCCUACGGGAGGCAGCAGUUAGGAAUCUUCCACAAUGGGCGAAAGCCUGAUGGAGCGACACCGCGUGAGGGAUGAAGGCCCUAGGGUCGUAAACCUCUAAAAGAGGGACGAUAAUGACGGUACCUCUUGAGAAGCACCGGCUAACUCCGUGCCAGCAGCCGCGGUAAUACGGAGGGUGCAAGCGUUAUCCGGAAUCACUGGGCGUAAAGGGCGCGUAGGCGGUCUGUUAAGUCCGAUGUCAAAUCCCGGGGCUCAACCCCGGAUCGGCGUUGGAUACUGGCAGGCUUGACGGCUGGAGAGGCGAGUAGAAUUACCAGUGUAGCGGUGGAAUGCGUAGAUACUGGUAGGAAUACCCAUUGCGAAGGCAGCUCGCUGGACAGCACGUGACGCUGAGGCGCGAAAGUGUGGGGAGCAAACC
rnacentral:rRNA from 1 species